rnacentral:rRNA from 1 species
AUUGAACGCUGGCGGAAUGCUUUACACAUGCAAGUCGAACGGCAGCACGGGGCAACCUGGUGGCGAGUGGCGAACGGGUGAGUAAUACAUCGGAAUGUGCCCAAUCGUGGGGGAUAACGUAGCGAAAGUUACGCUAAUACCGCAUACGAUCUACGGAUGAAAGCGGGGGAUCGCAAGACCUCGCGCGAAUGGAGCGGCCGAUGUCAGAUUAGGUAGUUGGUGGGGUAAAGGCUCACCAAGCCAACGAUCUGUAGCUGGUCUGAGAGGACGACCAGCCACACUGGGACUGAGACACGGCCCAGACUCCUACGGGAGGCAGCAGUGGGGAAUUUUGGACAAUGGGCGCAAGCCUGAUCCAGCCAUUCCGCGUGCAGGAUGAAGGCCUUCGGGUUGUAAACUGCUUUUGUACGGAACGAAACGGCUCUCUCUAAUACAGGGGGCUAAUGACGGUACCGUAAGAAUAAGCACCGGCUAACUACGUGCCAGCAGCCGCGGUAACAC